rnacentral:rRNA from 1 species
UGGCGGACGGGUGGGUAACGCGUGGGUAACCUGCCUCACACUGGGGGACAACAGUUAGAAAUGACUGCUAAUACCGCAUAAGCGCACAGGACCGCAUGGUCCGGUGUGAAAAACUCCGGUGGUGUGAGAUGGACCCGCGUUUGAUUAGCUAGUUGGUGGGGUAACGGCCUACCAAGGCGACGAUCAAUAGCCGACCUGAGAGGGUGACCGGCCACAUUGGGACUGAGACACGGCCCAA